CCUACGGGAGGCUGCAGUGGGGAAUAUUGCACAAUGGGGGAAACCCUGAUGCAGCGACGCCGCGUGAGUGAAGAAGUAUUUCGGUAUGUAAAGCUCUAUCAGCAGGGAAGAAAAUGACGGUACCUGACUAAGAAGCCCCGGCUAACUACGUGCCAGCAGCCGCGGUAAUACGUAGGGGGCAAGCGUUAUCCGGAUUUACUGGGUGUAAAGGGAGCGUAGACGGCAGCACAAGUCUGGAGUGAAAUGCCGGGGCUUAACCCCGGAACUGCUUUGGAAACUGUGAAGCUAGAGUGCAGGAGAGGUAAGUGGAAUGCCUAGUGUAGCGGUGAAAUGCGUAGAUAUUAGGAGGAACAGCAGUGGCGAAGGCGGCUUACUGGACUGUAACUGACGUUGAGGCUCGAAAGCGUGGGGAGCAAACAGGAUUAGAUACCCGGGUAGUC
rnacentral:rRNA from 1 species